AACGAACGCUGGCGGCAGGCUUAACACAUGCAAGUCGAGCGCCCCGCCAGGGGAGCGGCAGACGGGUGAGUAACGCGUGGGAACGUACCUUUUGGUUCGGAACAACUCCGGGAAACUGGAGCUAAUACCGGAUAAGCCCUAACGGGGAAAGAUUUAUCGCCUAAAGAUCGGCCCGCGUCUGAUUAGCUAGUUGGUGAGGUAACGGCUCACCAAGGCGACGAUCAGUAGCUGGUCUGAGAGGAUGAUCAGCCACACUGGGACUGAGACACGGCCCAGACUCCUACGGGAGGCAGCAGUGGGGAAUAUUGGACAAUGGGCGCAAGCCUGAUCCAGCCAUGCCGCGUGAGUGAUGAAGGCCUUAGGGUUGUAAAGCUCUUUUGUCCGGGAAGAUAAUGACUGUACCGGAAGAAUAAGCCCCGGCUAACUUCGUG
rnacentral:rRNA from 1 species